UACGUAGGGUGCGAGCGUUGUCCGGAAUUAUUGGGCGUAAAGAGCUCGUAGGCGGUCUGUUGCGUCUGCUGUGAAAUCCCGAGGCUCAACCUCGGGCUUGCAGUGGGUACGGGCAGGCUAGAGUGCGGUAGGGGAGAAUGGAACUCCUGGUGUAGCGGUGAAAUGCGUAGAUAUCAAGAGGAACACCAGUGGCGAAGGCGAGUCCCUGGACAACACCUGACACUGAGGCACGAAAGCUAGGGGAGCAAACAGG
rnacentral:rRNA from 1 species